UGCCCCCUGUGAUGCCCAGCACUGGGCUCUGAUCUCGUAUGAGGACAAGGUGCUCUCUGGGACCUUUGACACCCAAGGAUCUGAGGGGUUC